AAUGUGACAUUGCAUUGUCGUUAAACAGAUUCAUUGCUCGCACUACUACAGACUUAUACGGGUGGUGCUUUUCUACAAGAUUUUGCGCUGUUUCCCACAUUUCACACAUCUCCCUGAUCUCGUUUGAAGUGAGGGAUUCCUCUACCUUUUUCUCCUCCUCCUCUGCAGACGACAUCUCCAUUGGUUUGUCGGUGGCCAGCUUCUGCCUAUCUUCCUCCACCAGCUCUUGAAUGUCGUCCUCAUUCACCUCCAGUCCCAUGGUCUUCCCCAAAGACACAAUUUCAUUGACAACGGGUGGCUUCGUGUUCAUGGCAAGCCCCUCUAAGAAGGCAAGAACACAAUCAGGCCACAGUUUUCUCCAAGCAGAGUUGAAGAUUCUCUUUCUUGGUAACCCCAUUCCAGGCUUCAUCGAUGAUCUUGAGGCAGUUCGUGAUGUGGAAAUGAUUUUUCCAAAACUCUUGGAAGGUGAGGUUUGUUCCUUCGGUCACCUCGAAGCAUCACUGACAUAGUACUUUGGUGUAAAGCUUUUGAAAGUUCGAAAUGACUUGCUGUUCCAUGGGCUAGAGGAUUGGAGUGGUGUUGGGAGGAAGGAACUUGACUCUAAUGAACUCAAAUUCCUCCAGUAAAUUGCUUUAAGAGCCUGAAGGAGGAACAGGAGCAUUAUCCGUAACCAGCAAGGCUUUGAAUGGCAAAUUCUUUUCUAAAAGGUAUUUCUUCACUGCAGGGCCGAAGACCUCGCUGAUCCACCACGAACAAGAUAUAAGUGACCCAAGCCUUGCUGUUGGACCUCCACAGACCGUUUAACUGGCUCUUCUGCACCUUGCAUUUCCUGAAGGCUCAUGGAUUCUUGGAAUGAUACAGGAGCAGGGGCUUGACUUUGAAAUCCCUGCUUGCCUUAGCACAAACAGGAGGGUAACAUUCAGAAACCAUGAGCUUCUGGAACUUGAUAGCGAACGCCUCAGCUGCCUUAGCGUCCAAACUCGCACUCUCUCGGUGCCUCACAACGCUACGGAAGCCACUUCUCUUAAAGUUAUCAAACCAUCCCCUGCUUGCCUUGAAGCCUUCCUCGUUUUCUGUUGACGCACCUGGCAGUUUAUUUACUAGGUCAGCACACAAGGCCUUUGCCUUCUCGCAGAUUGCAAACAAACUAAUAUGUAUCCACUCCUUGGUGAAUCACAGAAACUACACCAGCUUCGUCUUUGUAAAGACACCAGGGCAGUGACACAGUAGAAGAAAGCUUCUGUACUUCCAACGGCCCACGUCAUUGCUUUCGGAAAAGAUUCAGCUUAUCGAGUAGCUGAGUGAUAAAUCUUCUCUUAAACUUAGGGGUUGCAGCCACAUCUGCAGUGUGCAGGGGCACAGCUCUCCAGGGCAGCCAGGGGACCAACGUCCUGGGGAAGUUGGUAACAGGGCAGAGAUGCAGCACAAGGGGGACGAAGGAAGCCAUCUCAGCCCUGAUCCCUGAGGAUCAACACCAUCCAGGGCACCUGGGAGCUUCUUAGAAAUGCACAGGUUCGGCUUCAUCCCAGAUCCGUGACUCAGAGCUGCGUUUGAACAAGAUCCACAUGCGCUCCUGUGCACAUUCUAGUUUGAGAAGCACUGCAGCUCUCACCUGCAUUCAAGGCUGCAGCCUUCUGACCGCAGCACAGGCACCACCCCCUCCAGGAAGCCUUCCAGGAAGGGGCUUUGGAUGCCCCUUUCACAUCCCCCCUCCUCUGCAUCCUGCCACCGCCACCACACUGUCACCUGGAUCUCCUCCAUGUCCUUCCUUGCCCGUUGCUGAAGAUCUUCAUGUCUACCCUUCC